GAAGUAGAUCAAAUAAGUUAAAACCACAGCCUAAUAUUGGUAAGAAGGUGAUUCCCCUCGAUUUCCCUAAAGUUUCUCUGAACAGAUCCCUUGUCAUUUUAUACCUUGUACUUGAUCUUUUUUCUUUCUGGAUGGGAUCUUCCAAGGCAGGGGCAUUAGCCAGAGAAAGAGGGUUUGGGUUAUCAGUGGGUGCUGUGUGCGUGGUGCCUCUGUUGCUCGUAAUCCCGAGUCUAGAACAGUGCUUAGAACGUUGUGGGAACCUGUAGACGGUGGCUAAGUUACUGUGCGAAUGGAUUAGGGAGUGUAAAUCAGGACCAGGAGGGACAGGACCUGGGGAGGUGGAGCUGCUUCGUAAAACAGGACCUGCCAUGCAUGCUCUAACGGACAGAACGGGGCCCCUGGGCGCGGGCACAUCGUGUGCUCUGAAUGGGGGCUGUGGUAGCAGGGUUUUCUCAGGGAGGCGUGUUUAUCCUCCACCGCUCUCACGUCGGGACCCAUUUGUCACCUCCAGGAAGACAUUCUGUUGCCAUGGCAGCAGCUGGAGCAGGAGGCCUGUCACAGGAGCAGAGCUGCACCUGCUCAGGUGGGUCUGAGGAGCAGGGGGGAUCCUGCAGGCCGGCCCUCCCAGCCACGGUGGAGGCGAGGCCGUCGGUCCACGGAGGAUGGCGAUGCACCAUGAGGGUUUGCGUGGUCGGUGAGCAGCAGAGCAGAGACAAUGACGUCCCCGGUUUCCUGACUCUUCCCAGAGGCCUGUUUCUACCCCCACCACAUGCUCCUCCCUCCAUCACGUGCCCCGAACUCACAGGAUCGACAAGACCCCACACCCGGGAAUUUCCCAGGCUUGGCCUGGCAGCAGGGAUCCCACUUGGUGCCUGGCCUGCCAAUCUCACGAGCUGGCCAGAGCCGUGCCCCCAAAACCGUCCUGCCGCCGGCCAGGACUGACCUCCCCGCCACCGCGGAAACCAGCCUCCCGCAGCCCGCCUGUGUCCUGUGGUUCGGGGCAGGCAGCCGGGACGGCCCACGGCUGCUCAGCCUUUGUCGUAGAUGUCAGUAUAUCCAGGUGCUCAUUUUCCCGUGCCCUUAUCUGAAACAAAGUAGGAGAUCGUGACUAUGUCCCUGGCAGGUCGGCCAGAAUACAUUAAGAGUAGUUCAUUAUCAGGUAGCAGGAGGUGGUGUUGGGGCCGGUGUGUGGCCUCUUAGCACAUCCCUAAAUGGCAUAGAGUAAGGAAAUCAUCUCUAAGAGGACAAACAAUCCAAAGACCCCCUUCGGCCUUGGAAUGUAAUGCUUGUUUUAUGUAUGACUUCUAAAGUGUCACUUGUCGUAGCCAAAGUGUAAUGUUUUUGCGGGCAAAUUGAAGUAGAAACAAUAGGUCCUUUGUGUCUCCUCUGCACUUCAUUCCUGGACGGAGGUCAGAGAGGCAGGCUUGUCUGGGGCCGUCUGUGGGAAGUCAGCUGUGAUGUGGAAGCCACCAAGGCAUUUGCAGCUUGCGUUUUUUUGCAUAUUUGAUUGCAUAAAGUAAGGAGUAUUUUAUCCGCCUUAGAAACGAGACUGUGAGUUCUCUGCCGUGAUUGCCGAUCGUUUCCCAAGCCACGUGGCCCACCAGGGAGGCAGUUUCGGGGAGCAGGUCCGCAGAGCCGCUCAGCCUGGGGAGGAAGAGUCUCAAGGUCAUACCUCAAGGUCAUAUGUAGUCCUGGCCGCCACCGGGAAUUCCUCUGGGGGCAUUUUCAGCAGGAUUUUUGUCACAUCUGUGUGGGUUUCCUGGGGGCCUUGCUACAGGAAGUUUUCCGCCAGCGGUCUCUGCAUCAGUCGUGGCAUUUUCUUCUGUCAGGGCAGGUGCACAGACUCUGGGUGACGUGAUGGGGGCGGGGCGAGGCCUGCUCCGUGGGCGGAAACGGCUCCCGUUACGUGGGCCUUCUUCAGAGUCCCGUCGACCUUGGGGUACUGUGCGGUUAGGAAGCUGCAAACGAUGGGCCUCUUCUUCUCCCUCACCUGUGCAGGUGUGUGUCCUCGUGGGGAACGAAGCCGUCCGCGUGGCUAUGGCUGUUUCUCCAGCGGAUCUGUUAAGAACUGGUCCUCUGCGUGCCGACAGCUCGGACAGGCCAGGGCCCUCUCUCUGGUCCGUCCCUUCUCCGUUGUUGAUCGUAUCUGCUCCCCUCAGGCCCCUGCAGACUCUGAAGGCAGGGAAGCCUGUUACGGGGGAAGUUUAUUCCGCCCUUAUAGAACCUGCAUGGCGUGUGGUUGCAUGUGAGUGAGCGUAUGUGGUCCUGUCCGGUCCUACUCGACGUCCUUCUUGGAGCGUCACUGGGUUCGUCAGCAUGUUAGAAACCACACGGAGUUUAAUCGUUAAAAAUAAACAAGCCUGUCCGACUAGACUGAGGACAGUCUUCCUCAGACUUUUAGUGUCACGCUUGAUAAGUCUAUUUGGGAAAACAAUGGCUUGCAAUGUUUUCUUUCCAGUAGAAUCUGCAUUCCUGUGUCUUAUUUGGGUUUAAGUGGAAAGGCAAAGUUGUUUUGUUCAUAAGCAUUUUAUUUUAGCACAGUUUAGAUUUAGAUGUACAGAUUUAGAUUAGAUUUAGGUUAGCAGAUUUGGAUUUCGGUUUAGAAAAGCAACCCAGAUACAGGAAGUACCAGGAGCUCGCCUGCGCCCACACCCAGCUUCCCUUAUUAUUGACAUCUGGUAGGAGUGUGCUGCACUUGCCAUGGCUCGUGAACCGGUACUCACCUUGGUUUUGAUGACCUUGACAGUUUAGGGGGGGAAGACCAGUCGGCAUUUUGUAGAUGCCUCUCGACUGGGGUUUGUCUGAUGUUUUCCUCGUGGUGAUUAGGCUGGGGUUGUGGGUUGUGGGUUGUGGGGAGAAAACCACAGAGGCACAAGUGCUGUUUCUGUCCUGUCACGUCAAGGGUCCGUGCGAUCGUCGUGACUCCCCGUGGCUGAUGCUUGCCCUGAUCACCUGGCCGAGGCGUGUGCCAGGUUUCUCCGUGUGCAGUUACUCUUUCCCCGCAUCCACCCUGUCCCUUUGCGUGAUGUCACCCCGUGCGGCCACACGUAGAGUCGGGAGCUGUGCCCCAACUCCUGGGGGCGGGGAGCAGCUAUGGAAUAUGCCUUUUCUCCGCCAUUUAUUUAUCAGUUCCAUCAUUUACGUAUAUCAUUGUGAGCUUAUGGACACUUAUUUCAUUUACUUACUGAUUCCAUCAUUUAUGUAUAUCGGUGUGAGCUUAUGGACACUUAUUUUAUAUUUUUGAUUAUGGCCCCUAUGACUUUGUCCCUCAGACUGUCCCAGCCUCAGCCGUUGGGAGCCCAUUGUGUUGCCGUGACACAUCCCCAGCAGUGUGGCUGUUUAUUUCGAGUACUUCCUUGCUUUGUGGCACUACCGAGUGUUCCAGGAUCAUCCGGAACGUUUCCUGUGCAAGCCCUUCAAGCCGCCCUUGAGCCCUCGUUCCUUUGUUGCAGCGUGGCCUCAGAAAACGGGCUCUGGGCACUUGGUGUGCUUUGUGGCGAGCCGGGGCACCCUCGCCUGUGUGCGCCAGCCGGCAGAGCAGGGGAAUGGCCGUGCGUGUGUUGCCCCUCGAAGACGCGUGUGUCUGUAAGCCGUGCCGAGUGUGGUGGGCUGCACCUGUAUUGAGCUAAUCGUUGAGUUUGUGCUGAUGUCUCCAGCUCUAAGCCAGGACCUCGUGGAUCAUUCCAGCCACCUCCCCUCGCUUGUCUGGGACCUUCCACUCUGACAGCGAGAAGCCUGACUCCCACCUUCCACAGUCCGCUUGCUUGUUUGUUCUAGUACACGGAUGCUUAGUAGUUUCAGAAUUGUUAACCCACACUCGAGCGGAGACAGCUUUGUCUGCUAGGGUCCAGGGCUUAUGGACAGUUCCGUUUGCCUGCGGUCUUACAGGUUCCACUCAUCUCCAGACUUACUCAGGUCAGGGCUUUUCCCCACCCCUGCGGUGAGGUCAUUUGAUACCCUUGUAGUAGAGUUCGAGUUUCUCUUCCCAGCCUGCAUUCCGUGCCAGGAUGCCCUUCUCCCUAGAGUAUUGUUUUCAAAACGUGCAUGCAUCCAGGUUCACUCCCUGUGCUGUGAAGUUUUGUUUCAUGGGUUUUGAUAAAUGUAUAGCGGCACGCAUCUGUCCUUACAGUAUUCUACAAAAGUACUUUCCAUGCCCUCACACACCCCCUGCGCCUUACCUGCUCAGCCCUCUUCUCCCUCCUCCCUCCCCAUCUCCUGGUAACUGCUCAUCUGUCUACUGAUUCUACAGUCUGCCAAUUCCAGAAUGUUCUAUGAUUAGAACCAUACAGUAUGUAGCCUUAAAACACAAACAAACAAAAAAACCCUUUUGUUUCUUAGAGGUUUAGGUUCAUAGCAAAAUUGAGGGCCAAGUACAGAGUUCCCGUAUCCGCCCCGUCCCCACACAGGCACAGCCUCCUUCACUAUUGACAUCAUGCACCGGAGGGGCACCUGUUACAUGGAUGAACCUGCAGUGACACAUCAUAAUCACCCAAAGUUCAUGGUUUACUGUGUCAGCUCAGGCUGCCGGAACAAAACACCACAGACCGGGUGGCUUAAACAACAGGACUUUAUUUCUCAUGGUUCUGGAGGUGGGAAGUCUGAGAUCAGGUGCCAGCACGCACAGGUUCUGAGUUUCUGAUUUUGAAGGUCUGGGUUACCAGCAAGUCCUCCGGCGGUGCCGAUGCUGGUGUUGUGGGGAGCGCGUGUUCAGGGCCGAUGACCACGUGCAGCAGAGACUCAGACAGACCGCUGCUACAGAGCCCUCCAGAAUCCGAGACUGGGCCUUUGCAACAGAGCUCCCAGCCACCUACCCCCAGCUGUCCGGGAGGGACGCACCAGUCAGCAGCCGCCGCCCACAGCUGCGACGCCUCUGGUACAGACUGUUCUGCCAUGACCACAGCGCGGUACCGGCCCACGUGGGACCUGGCCCUCGAUCCGCUGGUGUCGUGCAAGCUGUGUCUCGGGGAGUACCCGGUGGAGCAGAUGACCACCAUCGCCCAGUGCCAGUGCAUAUUCUGUACUCUGUGCCUGAAACAGUAUGUCGAGCUCUUGAUCAAAGAAGGAUUGGAAACUGCGAUCAGUUGCCCCGAUGCCGCCUGCCCUAAGCAAGGCCACCUGCAGGAAGACGAGAUCGAGUGCAUGGUGGCGGCUGAAAUUAUGCAAAGAUAUAAAAAGCUACAAUUUGAAAGAGAGGUGCUGCUGGACCCCUGUCGGACCUGGUGCCCUACUUCCACCUGCCAGGCCGUGUGCCAGCUCCAGGACAUGGGGCUGCAGACACCCCAGCUGGUGCGGUGCAAGGCCUGUGAUGUGGAAUUCUGCUCUGCCUGCAAAGCCAGCUGGCAUCCCGGCCAGGGCUGCCCGGAGACCAUGCCCAUCACUUUCCUUCCCGGAGAGACCAGCUCUGCUUUCAAACUGGAGGAGGACGACGCGCCCAUCAAGCGGUGCCCCAAGUGCAAGGUGUACAUCGAGCGGGACGAAGGGUGCGCACAGAUGAUGUGUAAGAACUGCAAGCACGCCUUCUGCUGGUACUGCCUCGAGUCUCUGGAUGAUGACUUCCUCCUGAUCCAUUACGAUAAAGGACCGUGCCGGAACAAGCUGGGCCAUUCCAGGGCAUCUGUGAUCUGGCAUCGGACACAGCUAUUUUACCAACAAAAAUGGGCUCAUUUGGGAAUAGCCUGGAAAUGCAGCUUGGGACAUACAAGCUACAGCCAAAUCACAGACCAGCCUAGAGAGCAAAGGGGAGGAACUCUCUUUUAUAGAAGCAAGGGGGCGCUGGGAAGCCCCUCACACACAUCAGAAGUCCUUUGGAAUAAACUGGGGUGCUCCAAACAUAGUGGCUUCUCACUGCUGAGUUGUGAGCGUCUCAUUGGCUGGGUUGUGGCAGGGGUGGUGGGGGAGGAAACUGUCCUUCCUCCUUCUGGGGAAACAAAGUAGCAGCUAAAGUAGGAUCCAAGUGCGAGGUCCCUGUUGGGUCUGCCCUUGAGGACAGUGGUGGCGUCUGAGCUCUACCUGCUGGCCUCCUGAUGCCUUUUAAGUGAAGUUUCCUUUAGUAAAUUUCACAGUGAUGAGGAAGAGCUAGCUGUGGGAGAGGGGGACAGGGUGGAAGGGACAGUCCAGGCAGAGGAAGGACAUUCUAGGCACAGGGGACAGUUCAGGCAGAGGAGGGGCAGUCGAGGCAGAGGAAGGGACAGUCCAGGCAGAGAAGGGGUAGUCUAGACAUAGGGGACAGUCCAGGCAGAGGGGAGACGGUCCAGGCAGAGGGGGAACCAUAUGCGCAGGGGACAGUCCAGGCAGAGGGGAAAGUCAGGCAGAGGAGGGGACAGUCCAGGCAGGCAGAGGGGACAGGGAGGGUUGACUGGUAGGACUUUGGCGUGAAGGUCCGAGGAGACCGAGCAGGGUGAGGCAGAGGGUCAGAGAUGCUGUCAGAGGAUAGACCCCAGCAGCUCGAAGGGCCUCUGCCCACUCUCACGUUUCAGCGCCUGUGCGGCUGGCCGAGGUGGGUCCGCCGGCCCAUCUCGGGUAGAGGAGCCGGUCUCAGGGCAGAUGCCCUGUGAGUCACUCACUCGCCAUCAUUACAGCCCACGUGGCCGAGCCAACGAGGUGCAUGCCGGAGGGGGCUGACAGAGGCCUUCCGGCAGGGGGGCCGGUGGCAGAAAGUGUCAGGGUUGCUUGCCAGCGGUGAGUUCUCUAUCGCAACCCUCAGAUGUGCCUAGUGGGGAGCAGCAGCUGCGGGCAGUGUGUCAACACAGAUCUGUGGCUGGGUUCCAGGAACGAGCCCUCUGAGAAGUGGGUGGAGGACUGAAGUGGUGGCGGUCGCACAGUUCUCUGGACACCAGACACCAGUGACCCGCGCACCCGCCUGGGUGGGUUGUCAGCGGUGCGCACUGUGCGGCCCAGCAGAGCUGUUAGAGACUUGGGCCCGGGCCCGAGCUCUGACCAGGGUCUGGAGAGACAGGUGCAUGUCCUGCCUCCUGCCAGCACAGCCACCUUGGGGCUCAGCCCCACCUGUGUGUGAGUUUGGCCGUCUGUGGCCAUUCACGAGGAAGCGUCUGGAACAGCACGGCAGCAGAAGCGUGUGCCUGAGGGUCUGGAGCCAUGUCAGGCACCAGGUGUCACAGGGCCACACCCCCUCUGAAACCUAUAGGGGACCCCAUUCUUGCCCAUUCUGGUGGGGGCCAUCGGUCCGCACUGUUCCUCAGCUCACAGAUGCUUCCCUCCAGUCCUGAGUGCUGGCCGGGCCGUCUGUCUGUGCAACUCUAUCUGGGUCCCUAUUCCCCUUCAGUAAGGGCACCAUUCCCACCCUAAGAACCUCAUUUUAACAUGGUGACCUCUAUAAAGAUGCGAUUCCCAAAUCAGGCCACGUUCUGAAGUCCUGGGGUCAGGACUCCACAUAACAUAUUUGGGGGGACAGGAUUCUACCCAUAACGACAUCUGCACCCUCUCCCCCACGCAGGAAAGGGAACCAUAGCGAGGCCACGUUCCUCCUUUGCUGUCCUCCUCCCGUGUCUGGUGGGGAUGAACCGCACUGAUUUGGGCUCCCUGCCUUGGCACAGCAGCCCGGUAAGGGGAGGCUGUCGUGUGCACCUGUGCGGGAUGACUGGCAAUCAGGGCAAAGGGAGGACUCGGGGAUCAUGUUCUGCUCCAGCCUUUCCCAUGUAGGGAAUGAGCCCCAGCCGAGGGAAUGUGACUUGCUCAAAGGUGGCUACCUAUUGCUGUGUGACAGGCCUCCCCAAAUGCAUUGGCUUCAUAUCCUCACGUUCGCCGUGUUCACCAUCUGCAGUGUGAACAAGGGCCCACAGAAGGCUUGUCUCGGUCCCCAUUGGCAUUAGCCGGGAUAUAAGUUGCUUCAGUGUCCUUCAGUUCCUUCGGGGUAGUUGGACACAGCAGAGCCCUGGCUGGUGCUGGAUCUGGAGCUCCUAACCGUGUCUGUCCAUGUGGCCUGAACUUCUAACCACAAGGCAGCUAGUGGCAAGCGUGAGCCCCCCAGGACAGAGCGAGGGCAAGAUGGGAGCUGUGUCCCCCUUUCUCCUGGAGCCUGGGCAGUCACACCUUAUCACGUGUGCCUGUUCAUUCAGACGGAGAGAGUUACAUGUCCCUGGGGGGUCCUGGGCAGCACUGAGAUCCUGGUAACAGUCAUUAACAGGACUAAAGAAAUACACUUGAGAAAGAAUCCAAGACACAAGGGUCCAUACCCUGCGCUAGCCUGAAACCCCUUUCUACCAGCUCCUUUUUGGCUCCUGAGUGCCCGCUCCGAGCUAGGUCCCGAAGCCACUUGGGUGCCCCCGAUCGCAGGAACUGAGCGGGAGAAUUGAACAGAAGCAUGCACUGUGUAGGGUCCCACGGAGACAUCUUCUCUGUGGUGCGAGAAGCUCCCGGAACGGAUAAGGUCAUAGCUACAGAAGUAGAGGGUGUCCACAGGUUAGUGUUAGAUUUGGGGAAAACGGUAAAACACCUGCGAACCAGUAAAACGAAGAAAAGGUAAAUCACAAAACACGCAAAGUAGGGGAAGUGGGAGGGGGUGGGGCCACGGUCUGUGGGCUGGACUCACCGAGGGGCACUGUGGGAAGGGGUGGAGCCGAGGCCUGUGGGCUGGACUCACCGAGGGGCACUGUGGGAAGUGGGGAGGGGUGGAGCCAAGGCCUGUGGGCUGGACUCACCGAGGGACACUGUGGGGAGGGGUGGAGCCAAGGCCUGUGGGUUGGACUCACCGAGGGGCACUGUGGGAAGGGGUGGAGCCAAGGCCUGUGGGCUGGACUCACCGAGGGGCACUGUGGGAAGUGGGGAGGGGUGGAGCCAAGGCCUGUGGGCUGGACUCACCGAGGGGCACUAUGGGAAGGGGUGGAGCCAGGGCCUGUGGGCUGGACUCACCGAGGGGCACUGUGGGAAGGGGUGGAGCCAAGGCUUGUGGGCUGGACGCACCCAGGCAGUCUGUGCGUGGAGGCUAGAGCCACCCGGGAGAGAUGUUCGUGUGCAGAGGACGCCCCAGCUGUUCCUGAGCCUUCGGUGUUGACAGUGAGGACCACCGCCAGCACAAGGUGCUCGUCCCUGCACUUGACGCUGGUGUCUGGGGCCAGUGGGAGAAGAGCUGAGUCCGUACGCGGUGCGUAGGCGUUGACGGAAGAAGGCUGCAAGCCCCAAGUGGGCAGAGCAUCCAGCCGAGGCCCCCUGAGCUUGCGCUUGGUGCUAUCUUACUACCACCGGUCCCGUUGGCUCAAGACCUUAUCAUUUCCUUGGGUGGGGGCUCUUCCCAGCCCUGUGGACGCCCUGUCCAAAUACAGGAAGGGCCCCGCACGCUGGAGUUAGUCUGGUGGGCCUGCACUGUCGCCCUGAGAAUUAAGUCAGAACCCCUGGGGCUGAGACGGAGGCAGCAGUGGUUUCUCUUGGGCUCUUGAUCGCGUCGAUGUGCAGCCUCUCUUGAGAACCACUAGUGGGCCCGGGCUUAGAGAAGACAACAGGUGUGUUUGUUAUAUUAGAGAAACCAAUCUUACUCCAUUCUGAAACAGCCAAGUUAUUUAUUUUUCAAUAGCUCCGUCUGGCUCUAGAGUGUUAUUUUUGGAUCCUCAACAUUCAGCAGUCAAUAAAAAUGCCUUGAACUUGA